rnacentral:misc_RNA from 1 species
AAAAGGAUGGGUCCUGGACCCUUCAUCCCUCAAACCCGUGGAAGUGAGAUGUGCUUCGGCGCCUCUGGGCGUCGAAUCCAUGCCGUUUAGCUCGUGUCUGAAGAAAAACAUAACAUUUAAAACUUUCAACAAAGGAUCUCUUGGCUCUCGUAUCGAUGAAGAACGUAGCAAAGCGCGAAAUGUAAUGUGAAUUGCAGAACAUUGUGAAUCAUCGAAUCUUUGAACGCACAUUGCGCCUCCUGUUAAUGGGAGGCAUGCCUGUCUGAGCGUCAUUUAAAACCAUAACCUUUGGGUUGUAUUGGGAUUCGCCCUCGGGCGUAUCCUCAAAGUCAUCGUGUCUGAAAGCGUACGAGCUCCACUAGGACGGAACGUUUGAGGCCCCUAAACUCUCUGA